rnacentral:lncRNA from 1 species
AAAAAAAAAAAAAAACUAAAACAACCCCAAACUCUUGAAUAUCUUCAUGUAAAGGCAGAAACUAUAUCCAUACCUUAUCUCAUAUAUAAGACAUAAAACAUAGUAACUAUUGGAGGGAAUUAUAGAGAAACAUUUCUACAUCUAGGCAAGGCAAAGACUUUUGGGAUAAGAGUUGAGUCAAGCCCAGGAAUAUUCACAAGAAUCAGAAAACAUGAGGGCGUUAAGUAAGAAAGUGUUCAUAUGUCAAAAGAGACAGUGACACAUGGAAGCAAAAGUCUCUAUAGAGAGAACAUUUUUUUUUUUUUUUGCCAGAUGCAAACCUGACGGGGGAUUAGCAGCUUGCAUAUACAAAUAACUAAAAUCGUUACUCCUCCCACACCCCCAACCAAACACCAAUCACUCAGCCAAUGAAUGGGCAAAAAUAUUUGAACAAAUAGUUCCUGAAAACAAUAGGAAUUGUCAAAAGCACAUGGCAAACUGUCCAGCAUCCUCAGACACCUGAGAAAUGGAAAUACAGAAUACUAAACUUAUGUGGAGAGCCCACCUUGCCCCAGUUGGAAUGAUUCUCAUUU